rnacentral:sRNA from 1 species
UUAGAUUUUCAGAGACCCAUCUUCAAUACUUUGAGCUCAUUCUGGUAAACUUCCUUCUACCUAUGUGCAGGUCCCUGUACUCCAGCCAACACAGGCUCAGUAACUGGAAAUGAAUUGGCUAAAAUGGUAGCACCACUGGCUUUCUUAUAGAGCUUUAGGAGUUCUUUAUGGAAAAAAGCACAGAACUAAAUUCCUCAAAAAAAAAAAAAAAAAAAAAAAGCCACACACAAAAACAAAACUCCCAUGUCUUGAUCUUAAUGAUUGUGAGCAAGGAUGGUAAAAAGCUCUGCUGGCUGGCUCCUAAGACCUUGAAUGGUAAGCUACAAUAGAGAUAUCACAGUCCCUUACAGAUUGUUCGAAAACUCGUUGGAUCAUAGUUAACAUUGUUAGAACUCUCUCACAUACAUUACGUCUGAUCCUAAAACAGUACUAUGUGAUAGGUAGUAUUGCCCAAGUUAUAGUGAUGAGGUUGAGUUUUAAAGGUUACAUGACUUAUUUAGGGUCAUAGUACUGAAUCUGAACCCAGAUCUGCCUUGAAUAUAUUAUUCUUCCCAAGUUACCACACAUCGAAGAAGACAGUGUUCAUCCCUUUCCCACACCCACUGCUUAGAAAUUUUGUCGUGGGCUAGGCGCGGUAGCUCACACCUGUAUCCCUGUAUCCCAGCACUUUGAGAGGCUGAGGUGGGCAGAUCACAUGGUCAGGAGUUUGAGACCAGCCUGGCCAAUAUGGUGAAACUCUGACUCUACUAAAAAUACAAAAAUUAGCUGGACAUGGUGGCAUGCGCCUGUGGUCCCAGCUACUUGGGAGGCUGAACCAGAAGAAUCGCUUGAACCCAGGAGGCGGAGGUUGCAGUGAGCCGAGAUCACGCCGCUGCGCUCCAGCCUGGGCAAUACAGCGAGUCUCUGUCUUCCAAAAAGAAAAAAAAUUGUCACUUCUUUAAAAAAUUAACUAUAUUUUAAAAGCCCCAGGCUUUUUAUAUGCUGCAUUUUUUGGUGUUUUUAUCAGAUACUGUUCUGCUUGUAAAGACAAUACAGUUUUCCAUAUUUUACAAAAGAAGAAAUGGGAGAAAGGGGUUUAAGUAACUUGCCCUAGUCCCACAGUAAGGAGAAGCCUGGUACCCAAACUUCUGGCUUGAGUACUCAACCACUUACUUUCUGUGCUUUACGUGGCAGCACCAUUUUGCAGAAAACUUCCAAGCAGUUUUUUUCACUUAAAAAUUAAAACCCUGUUUACUGCCACCUCUCUUGACUCUUUGCCAUGUGUUGGGCUGUACAUUUGCUUCUAAUAAAGAUAACUGGUCUAUUCUUUUUCUCUUUGAAUCGGGUCUUGCUCUUUUGCCAGGCUGGAGUGCAGUGGCAUCACAGUCAUGGCUCACUACAGCCUCAAAUUCCUAUGCUGAAGCCAUCUUCCUCCCUCAGCCUCUCAGGCAGCUGAGACUACGGGUGUGCAUCACCAUGCCCAGCUGGGGUGCAGUGGUGCAGUCUUGGCUCACUGCAACCUGCACCUCCCAGGUUCAAGCGAUUUUCCCACCUCAGCCUCCUGAGUAGCCGGGACUACAGGCAUAUGCCCCCAGGCCUGACUAAUUUUUUUGUAUUUUUACUAGAGAUGGGAUUUCACCAUGCUGGCCAGGUUGGUCUCGAACUCCUGACCUCAGGUGAUCCACUAGCCUCAGCCUCCCAGAGUGCUGGGAUUACAGAAACUGAAGGCUCAGAAGAGGAUGAUAAAGAAAAUGAUAAGACUGAAGAAAUGCCAAACGAUUCAGUCCUUGAAAACAAGUCUCUUCAAGAAAAUGAAGAGGAGGAGAUUGGGAACCUAGAGCUUGCCUGGGAUAUGCUGGAUUUAGCAAAGAUCAUUUUUAAAAGGCAAGAAACAAAAGAAGCACAGCUUUAUGCUGCCCAGGCACAUCUUAAACUCGGAGAAGUUAGUGUUGAAUCUGAAAACUAUGUGCAAGCUGUGGAGGAGUUCCAGUCCUGCCUUAACCUGCAGGAACAGUACCUGGAAGCCCACGACCGUCUCCUUGCAGAGACCCACUACCAGCUGGGCUUGGCUUAUGGGUACAACUCUCAGUAUGAUGAGGCAGUGGCACAGUUCAGCAAAUCUAUUGAAGUCAUUGAGAAGAGAAUGGCUGUACUAAAUGAGCAGGUGAAGGAGGCUGAAGGAUCGUCUGCUGAAUACAAGAAAGAAAUCGAGGAACUAAAGGAACUGCUACCCGAAAUUAGAGAGAAGAUAGAAGAUGCAAAGGAGUCUCAGCAUAGUGGGAAUGUAGCUGAACUGGCUCUGAAAGCUACUCUGGUGGAGAGCUCUACUUCAGGUUUCACUCCUGGUGGAGGAGGCUCUUCAGUCUCCAUGAUUGCCAGUAGAAAGCCAACAGACGGUGCUUCCUCAUCAAAUUGUGUGACUGAUAUUUCCCACCUUGUCAGAAAGAAGAGGAAACCAGAGGAAGAGAGUCCCCGGAAAGAUGAUGCAAAGAAAGCCAAACAGGAGCCGGAGGUGAACGGAGGCAGCGGGGAUGCUGUCCCCAGUGGAAAUGAAGUUUCGGAAAACAUGGAGGAGGAGGCUGAGAAUCGGGCUGAAAGCCGGGCGGCAGUGGAGGGGACAGUGGAGGCUGGAGCUACAGUUGAAAGCACUGCAUGUUAAGAGGGGGCACAGCCCUCCUAAGGGAAAGUGUUUUUGUAUAUAAUGUAUUUUUUCACUUUUGGAGGAUUCUUUUUGUAUAACUUCAAUAAAGAUUGUAAGC